rnacentral:rRNA from 1 species
AGAAUCAACGCUGGCGGCGUGCCUAACACAUGCAAGUCGCACGAGAAAGGGGAGCAAUCCCUGAGUACAGUGGCGCACGGGUGAGUAACACGUGAAUAAUCUACCUCCGAGUGGGGAAUAACUGAGAGAAAUCUUAGCUAAUACCGCAUAACACUUACGAGUCAAAGCAGCAAUGCGCUUGGAGAGGAGUUCGCGGCAGAUUAGUUAGUUGGCGGGGUAAUGGCCCACCAAGACGAUGAUCUGUAUCCGGCCUGAGAGGGCGCACGGACACACUGGAACUGAAACACGGUCCAGACUCCUACGGGAGGCAGCAGUGGGGAAUUUUGCGCAAUGGGGGAAACCCUGACGCAGCAACGCCGCGUGGAGGAUGAAGCCCCUUGGGGUGUAAACUCCUUUCGAUCGGGAAGAUAAUGACGGUACCGAUAUAAGAAGCCCGGCUAACUUCGCGCCAGCAGCCGC